rnacentral:rRNA from 1 species
GAUGAACGCUGGCGGCGUGCCUAAUACAUGCAAGUCGAGCGAACGGACGAGAAGCUUGCUUCUCUGAUGUUAGCGGCGGACGGGUGAGUAACACGUGGAUAACCUACCUAUAAGACUGGGAUAACUUCGGGAAACCGGAGCUAAUACCGGAUAAUAUUUUGAACCGCAUGGUUCAAAAGUGAAAGACGGUCUUGCUGUCACUUAUAGAUGGAUCCGCGCUGCAUUAGCUAGUUGGUAAGGUAACGGCGUACCAAGGCAACGAUGCAUAGACGACCUGAGCGGGUGAACGGCCACACUAGAACUGAGACACGGACCAGACUCCUAAGGGAGGCAGCAGUAGGGAAUCUUCCGCAAUGGGCGAAAGCCUGACGGUGCAACGCCGCGUGAGUGAUGAAGGUCUUCUGAUCGUAAAACUCUGUUAUUAGGGAAGAACAUAUGUGUAAGUAACUGUGCACAUCUUGACGGUACCUAAUCAGAAAGCCACGGCUAACUACGUG